rnacentral:rRNA from 1 species
ACCUUAUUGGAGGUAUAACCUCGGGAACUGAGAAUAAUGCCCGAUAGAACAUUAUGCCUGGAAUGGUUUAUGUUUCAAAUGAUUUAUCGCCAUAGGAUGGGACUGCGGCCUAUCGGUUUGUUGGUGAGGUAAUGGCCCACCAAGACUAUUACAGGUACGGGCUCUGAGAGGAGUAGCCCGGAGAUGGGUACUGAGACACGGACCCAGGCCCUAUGGGGCGCAGCAGGCGAGAAAACUUUGCAAUGUGCGAAAGCACGACAAGGUUAAUCCGAGUGGUUUCUGCUAAAGAAACCUUUUGUCAGUCCUAGAAACACUGACGAAUAAGGGGUGGGCAAGUUCUGGUGUCAGCCGCCGCGGUAAAACCAGCACCUCAAGUGGUCAGGAUGAUUAUUGGGCCUAAAGCAUCCGUAGCUCGUUUUGUAAGUUUUCGGUUAAAUCCAUGCGCUUAACGUAUGGGCUGCCGGGAAUACUGCAUAACUAGGAAGUGGGAGAGGUAGACGGUACUCGGUAGGAAGGGGUAAAAUCCUUUGAUCUAUUGAUGACCACCUGUGGCGAAGGCGGUCUACCAGAACACGUUCGACGGUGAGGGAUGAAAGCUGGGGGAGCAAACCGGAUUAGAUACCCGGGUAGUCCCAGCUGUAAACUAUGCAAACUCAGUGAUGCAUUGGCUUGUGGCCAAUGCAGUGCUGCAGGGAAGCCGUUAAGUUUGCCGCCUGGGAAGUACGUACGCAAGUAUGAAACUUAAAGGAAUUGGCGGGGGAGCAC